GCACUACUGAGGAGUCCCAUAUAGGACAAAACGGUCGUCCAGUGC
rnacentral:hammerhead_ribozyme from 1 species